CAAGACUCCAUGCAGCUGGACCGUGCCUGAUUUCACCCCCUGCGCAGGAUUUCCCAUUCCCAAACCUGACCUGAUCGCCUGGCUGGAAGGAUGGGAAGAGCCGUGCGUCCCAGAUCUCCACGUCACGAGGGGAAGA